rnacentral:lncRNA from 1 species
AACACAGCUGCACGCUUAGCUGUGUGUGAACUGAAUAACGACGUGCGGUGACCAGACACCAACAGGCUUUGAAAGAAGUGACGUGAUUUUUGCUGAUCAUGAUACGUGUCUAUGCGUCUGUUAUUUACAUAGUGAUUUGUGGACUGACCAGCUAACAGCAAAGUUUGCACUUGAUGCAAUUAUUCACACUCGAUAUACUGUGGAAAAUGAAAUCUGAACCACGUUUUGGGGGACUCCUGUUAUUUCUUAAACAUCGUAACUGAAAUUCAUGCAUAUCCAUACCAGGCAAAACCAAGGAAUGCUGUAACUAUGGGGUCUUACUGUAUUGCCCAGGCUCGUCUCAAACUCCUAGCCUCAAGUGCUCCUCCCAACUCAGCCUCUGCAGUAGCUGGGAUUACAGGGCAUGGGCCACUGUGCCUGGCUCAACAAAUAUCCUUCCAAGAGAAGACGAAGAGAGAAGACAAUUACAAAAGGCCAUGUGAAGACAGAAGCAGAGAUGGGAGGGAGGCGGUCACAAGCCAAAGAAUGCCCGCAGCCACCAGGAGCUGAAAGAGAAGGAAAGCUUCUCUCCCAGAGCCUCCAGAGGCAGUGUGGCCCUGCCAACACCUUGAUCUCAGAUUUCUGGCCUCCAGAAUCGAUCUAUUGCCUGGGACCAUGUGUGCACCCUGGAGAGAGUGACCAUGGUGCUCAUGGUAAGUGUGGCUAACAAAAAUGGCACACCCACAUCCCAAGUGCCAGCUCUCUGCUCUCUCUGCUCACAGUGAAGACAGAGUGUCCUCUGAGCCCAGACUCCUGUCCCUGCACCCAGCUCUGCUCUGCAGUAAUUGAGACUCCUUGGGCAACUUGUCUCCCUUCUCCAAAUCUCAGUUUGCUCAGCUGGAAAAUAGAGAUGCUAAUCACAGCACUCACGUCACAGGUGUUUUGUGUGACAAGUGAGUAAGAUGGGAGAGAAGAAGCAAGUUCUAAGUCCAAUGCCUGCCUUGUGAUCAAUACCUUAUAAAUAUGGGUCAUGAUGCAAUAUUUUCAAGUCCAGACUCAGGGCUGGCUUCCCUCUGCCACUUGUGCACUGUUUAAUGACUUGUGGCCAGGUCACCUUGACCUGCCCUAGCUUCAAUCUCUGAAUCUCUGAAAUAAAGUACUCAUUAUCCCUGCCCUGCAGAGCAGUGUUAGGAUCAAAGACAAUAAAUAAAGCAGGUAAAAGGCUUACCACGCAGCUUGACACGUAAUACGUGCUCAAUCAGGAUUAGUUAUUAUUAUUAUUAUAUAAGCACUUUUACAUAUUACCUCAUUUAAUUCUCACAUCUACUCUCUGAGACAGAAAACAACAGGUAGGGUUGCCCAUUUGUGUAUGUUCCAGAAACAAUCACGUAUUCUGGGAAUGAAUGAAUGCAGGGAGGAAUGAAUGAAUCACCACGAUAAUUUGUGUCUUCUGCGACAGUGGGUGCAUAGUCUCUAUUUCUCGGAGCAAUGGUGAUGUCUGCCAAAAUAAAUUAACUUUCCCACAUCAAUGACUCAUUUGGCAGGAAUAACAGCCUUGCAAACUGAAUAGAGAAUGAAGAAGGAGGACGCCUCAGGCAGGGGGAGAGAGAGGAGUUUGUAAUGACUCAAGAUACAAGAACCAGCUUCUUAUUCAUUCUCUUUCUCUCCCUAACCAAAAAUGUAGGCCCUUAUAUACAUAUACAGUUUUUGAGACAGGGGCUCGCUGUCACCCAGGCUGGAGUGCAGUGGCACCAUCUUGGCUUACUGCAACCUCCGCCUCCCAGGCUUAAGUGAUCCUCCCACCUCAGCCUCCCCAGUAGCUGGGACUAUAGACGUGAGCCACUGAGCCCAGCCAGCCUGAUAUACAUAUUUAACCUUUUAAACUGGAGAAGUGGAAGUUCCACGCUAUUAAGUGGCUUUGGAUAUCAGAACCAUAAAAAGAAGCUUACAGACAGCAUCAUGUAACCUUUGCUGGGUGGACAGGGGUCCAGGACAGGACAGGUGUCCAGGACAUCAUGUGACCUUUGCUGGGUGGACAGGGGGUCCAGGACAGGACAUGGGUCCAGGACAGGACAUGGGUCCAGGACAGGACAGGGGUCCAGGACAUCAUGUGACCUUUGCUAGGUGGACAGGGGUUCAGCGCUCACACCAUGUGUGGCAGGGCCAGCGCUGGGCCCCAGGACACCUGACUUCCAUCCAGUGCUCCUUCCUUAUCCCACUGCUUCUGGAUCGAUGCAGGAUCUUCUCAGACACUUCCGCCACCUGGCCAUUCUCACACUCUGCUCAAGACUCCUUCCAUGGCCGGGGAAACUUCAGGACAGAGCAAAGAAAGAUCAAAGACUGAGACUGCAGAUCCUCACGAGGAAGAAUAAAGGAGUUGGGAGGAGAUGGCUAAGAUGGACUUAAUUACCUACUUCUCAUCUGCAUGAGGGUUGUAUGAGGAGGCAAGUUAUCUGCCCUCUUAAACACUGCACAAAUGAUAUUUACCAAUUGAUGAGUUUUAGGCUCUUCUGACGUUUGCUGAGUUCAUGAUUCAUUCACAAGAGGGACUUUGAAUCUACUUAAAAAUACUCGUGGAGCUGAAAGAAGCAACAACUUAACGCUAGGUCCACACAGUUCAGGAAGAACCGCAGCUCAGGCCAAGGACUUACUACUCUUCUAUUGGAACCAACUCCAACAACCUUCUGCUUCUACUAAUCAGACACAAGGCAGCAUCUGGGGUGGGAGUAGGUUGGAAAGGAGUGAGCUUCUGUUUUAUUUUUCCUUCUUCAGCAAUCGCGAAGGUAUAUCCACGCAGUAGAGAUGACAUGACCUGGAAUCGAAUUCUGGCUCCACCACUGCCUAGCCAUUGAUCUCGGCCAAAUCACUUAGCAUUCCUAAGCCUCAGUCGCUUCUGUGUUAAAAGGGCUUAUAAUACCUACCACAAAUGUUGUGAUCAGUGGUGCUGGUCAAUGUUUAAUAACUAGUUCUCUGGAGGAAAACCCUGGUAUAUAGCAUUUGCCCAUUUCUAUGGUGUAAAUACUCCCACCAAAGUCAAUCUCAAACUCCCAAGGGGAGGUCACUGAACACAGAGUUGGGAAGACAGGCACAGGAGCAGACACUGUAGAGAAUUUUCACCAAACAGAUAUCAUAAUCUUAAGAGCAUAGGUAAUGGGAGAACAUAGUAAAUUAAGAAGUGAGGAGUUUUAGUGUUAUUACUUUUAUCUUUCAAUUCAAUGUAUCUAUUUAAUUGUAAGUUUAUAUAAUUUUUUAUUUUUUUUCGAGACAGUCUCACUCUGUUGUCCAGGCUGGAGUGCAGUGGCACCAUUUUGCUCACUGCAACCUCUGUCUCCCAGGUUCAAGCGAUUCUCCUGCCUCAGCCUCCCGAGUAGCUGGGAUUACAGACACACACCACCACACCCAGCUAAUUUUUGUAUUUUUUGUAUUGACGGAGUUUCAUCAUGUUGGCCAGGCUGAUCUCCAACUCCUGGCCUCCAGUGAUCCGCCCACCUCGGCCUCCCAAAGUGCUGGGAUUACAGGCGUGAGUCACCACGCCCAGCCCAUACAAUUUCUUUUCUUUUCUUUUCUUUUCCUCUUUUUUGAGACAGGGUCUUGCUCUGUCACCCAGGCUGGAGUGCAGUGGUGUGAUCAUGGCUCACUGCAACCUCAACUUCCCAGGCUGAAGUGAUCCUCCCACCUCAUGAGGAGCUGGAAUUACAGGUGCAUGCUACCACGCCUGGCUAUCUUUUUAAUUCUUUUGUAGAGACAAGGUCUCCCUAUGUUACCCAGGCUGGUCUUGAACUCCUAGGCUGACGUGAUCCUCCCAGCUUGGCCUCCCAAAGUGCUGGGAUUACAGGAGUGAGCCACCACGCCCCACCAGUUCAUAUAAUUUCUUUAAAAUAAUAGUUGUGCCUUCCUGUUCUCAAAAAUCCAAUACCCUAGGAGACAUAGGGAGCCAGGUUUAGCGGUAGAGGGGAUGAAUUUGCAGGUAACUAAAGAACAGUAUAGUUGAUUGGGAGGUUCAGGGCCUGCAGUGUGCAGUGGAACUGACCUGUACUCGCCCUGCUUCCCCAAACGGGUGACCUUGGUCAAGCACUCCCAUUUCUCUGCUUCAGUGUGCUCAUUCAUAAAAUAAUCAUCUGCUCGUCGGGUUAAUGCCAGUUCUAAAUGAGAUGAUCUGGGGAAAACUUUUAGCACAGAGCCUGGCAUAUAGUAACAGCUCAAUAAAUGGUGGCAGCCCUCAUUAGUGAUGUGAUAAUUGUGCUAAUGGGGAAGCGUACACAUUGCAUCUGCAUUGGGAGCCUGGCCAAGGUACAGAUUAAGGUGCUGGGUUCAGGCCAAGCUCGAGGAAGCAAACGAGGGCUGCAGUUUACGCCGGAAAAUUAGGUGGGUGUUGACUUGGGCAGAUGGCAGCCCAGCCCUUAAAAAAAAAAAAAAAAGUCCGGAAAUAGGAACAUUGGAUGCAUGCCUCUCUCUCUAGGGUGGGAACAAGGGACAGGAGAGCAAAUCAAUGGGCUUAAAAAGUCAAAGCAGGUCAAGUGGGCCGGGUGUGGUGGCUCAUGCCUGUAAUCCCAGCUCCUUGGGAGGCCAAGGUGAGCGAAUCACCUGAGGUCAGGAGUUCAAGACCAGCCUGGCCAAUAUGGUGAAACCCCGUCUCCACUAAACAUACAAAAAUUAGCCAGGCGUGGUGGCACAUGCCUGUAACCGCACCUACUUGGGAGGCUGAGGAAAGAGAAUCACCUGAACCCGGGAGGCGGAGGCUUCAGUGAGCCAAGAUUGUGCCACUGCGCUCCAACCUGGGCAAUAGAGUGAGACUCCAUCUCAAAAAAUAAAAUAAGGCUGGGUGCCAUGGUUCAUGCCUGUAAUCCCAACGCUUGGGGAGGCUGAGGCGGGCAGAUCACCUGAGGCCAGGAGUUCAAGACCAGCGUGGCCAACAUGGUGAAAUCCCAUCUCUACUAAAAAUACAAAAAUUAGAUGGGCAUGGUGGCAUGUACAUGUAAUCUCAGCUACUCAGGAGACUGAGGCACAAGAAUCAUUUGAACCCUGGAGGCGGAGUUUUCAGGGAGCUGAGAUCCGGCCACUGCACUCCAGCCUGGGCAACAGAUUGAGGCUCUGUCUCAAUAAAAUAAAAUAAAAUAAAAUGAAUAAAAUAAAAUAAAAUAAACCCAGGUCAACUGCUCCAAGGAACAGUCUGCCUUCACCUGUCAGCAUUUGUGGAGGCUAGUGAAGCACAUGCUGUUGUUGGCGUGGAGAAUCAUGAACUGAUGGUGGUGGCUGUAUGAACCGCUUCGUGGGCAGUGGAUCCGACCAGAGCUGAACUUUAGAAAAGAUCUGUUGCUUGGAUAAGGAACAGAUUCGGUUGCUCAACCCAACCUGCCCUUAUCGCCAAUGACCCAGCUCAACGUUCUCUCUGGUUUAGAGGAAAACAAACAGGACGUUAGGAAGUAACCAGAUCAGAUGGUCAGAGGUGGAUCUAGGGGGAGCCGGGACACUCUCUAACGCUCCUCCAGCAGGAGAUGUCCUGGGCGGUGCCUAGAGGAAUGUGAUGGCUUCACACAUGUGGAAGAGCCUAGCGAGUGAGGCUCCCUGCAGCUAUGGAUGUCCACUGCAGCCUCAUGUCCUGGCCUCGCCCUCCCAGUAUGAGCUUGGAAUUUUCUUAAACAAGAAAUUUCCAGUGUUGGCCAGGCGCAGUCCCAGCACCUUUGGAGGCUGAGGCGGGUGGGUCACCUGAGGUCAGGAGUUCGAGACCAGCCUGGCUAACAUGGUGAAAUUCUGUCUGUACUAAAAAAUACAAAAAUUAGCUGGGCCUGGUGGCGUGUGCCUGUAGUUCCAGCUACUUAGGAGGCGGAAGCAGGAGAAUCGCUUGAACCUGGGAGGCAGACAUUGCAGUGAGCCAAGAUCACGCCACCGCACUCCAGCCUGGGCAACAGAGUGCCUCA